AGAGUUAAACAGUACGUGAAAUUGCUAAAAGGGAAACGUUUGAAGCCAGUGUUGAGUUGGGUAAAUCAGCCGUUCGGGGUGACUCGGAUGGUGCACUUUAGCCAGCACUGGUCAGCAUCAGUUCAGGCUAAUGUAGAAGGCUUGAGGAAGGUAGCUGCUUGCAGUAUUAUAGCCUCUUGACAUGCAUUGACUUGGACUGAGGAUCGCAGUGUAGACCGUAAGGCAGGGCUACUAGGUGGCUAUUGAAAAGGACGUGGUAGACAGCGUGCUGAGUACCAUUGCUGGAUCAGUACUCAUUUGGCUAGUCACUACUACACUUAGGAUGCUGACGAAAUGGUUUUAAAUGACC
rnacentral:ncRNA from 2 species